CAUGCCAUAUCUGGUGUAUGUAAGUAUUUGUAACUUGUAUGUAUUUGUUUUAGUCCUGAGUAUUGGUUUAAGAGUUUUAAAUUGCGCGCCGUUUCUCAACUGUUGAGACCGCGGCAGGGUGUGUGCGCAUGAGCAACAGGUAAGCGGGAGUACAGGCGGACAGGUAAAAAACCUAGCAGCGGGUAUUUGGAGCGUAGCCCUGUUCGACGCCCAAACUACAGAUUGGGCUUGAUGGGCCUACACCGUAAUUGAUGAGACCAUGAACACUACCCACCUAUGGUAUGGAGGCCUAGAGCCGAGGGCCGAAUAGCUGUACUGAUUUAUGUACUACGAGAUCCUACUCGUCCUAUGAACUGUAUGCCUGUUGUGAACCUUCCCUGUUUUGGAAGGAUGGACCGACAUAACCUGCGUGGUAUGUCUGAGCGGUGAUACACAUCGCGGCAGAGAUGUGACAUUGUUAUUGAUGACGUCACAGUUGUCGAUAUAUUCAAUGUCUUGGGAUCAUCAUUACAGACGUAGAGAUUCUGUUCUACUAUAACGUUGAUUCCCUGUUGUGGAUGCUGACCAUGUUCAGUACAUGUAUAUUGAGCACUGCGUGUGUGAUUUUGUUCCGCUGUAUAAGACGGCACUGAUUGGAUUCUGAGGGACCGAUGAUGGAGACAUUCAUGUUCAUCUAUUGCUUAGCAACGUAACUGUGUGGACUCGAUGUUCAACUGUGGUGGCCUUUGAGAGACUUGUAGGGAAUAGGGUGUCUAUGUUUAUGUAUUUAUGCUGAUGUGUCUAUGUUUAUGUAUUUAUGCUUAUGUGUCUAUGUUUAUGUAUUUAUGCUUAUGUGUCUAUGAAUGUAUCAGAGUGUGUUGUAUGUAAGAUUGUGUAAUGAGCGUGUUUAUAAAUAAAUGUUAAUAUACAUGCUUGUACAAAUUGUAAAUAAAUCUUGUAUAUAUUGUA